AGCAAUUUGGCGCAGUGGAAGCGCGGUAUGUCUCCCAGUGACUCCACUCAAAAAUCGAACAUUCAAGCUAACUUUCUACAGCCGGGCUCAUAACCCGGAGGUCACACGAUCGAAACGUGUAAUUGCUA